rnacentral:rRNA from 1 species
CGAGAAUUUUUCUCAAUGGGCGCAAGCCUGAAGGAGCGACGCCGCGUGGGGGAUGAAGGGUUUCGAUCCGUAAACCCCUGUCAUUUGUGAACAAUGGUUAUUAUUUAAAAGAUGAUGACUUGAUAGUAAUGAAAGAGGAAGGGACGGCUAACUCUGUGCCAGCAGCCGCGGUAAUACAGAGGUCCCGAGCGUUGUUCGGAUUCACUGGGCGUAAAGGGUGCGUAGGUGGCAUGGUAAGUUUGAUGUGGAAGCUCAGGGCUUAACCCUGAAAUGGCAUUGAAUACUAUCGUGCUGGAGGUUUGGAGGGGGGACUGGAAUUCUCGGUGUAGCAGUGAAAUGCGUAGAUAUCGAGAGGAACACCAGUGGCGAAGGCGAGUCCCUGGACAACACCUGACACUGAGGCACGAAAGCCGGGGGAGCAAA